GAUGAACGCUGGCGGCGUGCCUAAUACAUGCAAGUCGAGCGAAGCGGGGACGGGUGCGUAACACGUGGAUAACCUCCUAUAAGACUGGGAUAACUUUGUGAAACCGGAGCUAAACCGGUUACUUCUAGAUGGAUCCGCGCUGCAUUAGCUAGUUGGUAAGGUAACGGAUUACCAAGGCAACGAUGCAUAGCUGACCUGAGAGGGUGAUCGGCCACACUGGAACUGAGACACGGUCCAGACUCCUACGGGAGGAAGCAGUAGGGAAUCUUCCGCAAUGGGCGAAAGCCUGAUGGGGCAAAGCCGCGUGAGUGAUGAAGGGCUUCGGAUCGUAAAACUCUGGUGUUAGUGAAGCGGUACCUAAUCAGAAAGCCGCGGCUAACUACGUGCCAGCCGCCGCGGUAAUAC
rnacentral:rRNA from 1 species